rnacentral:misc_RNA from 1 species
GAUGAAGAACGCAGCGAAAUGCGAUAAGUAAUGUGAAUUGCAGAAUUCAGUGAAUCAUCGAAUCUUUGAACGCACCUUGCGCCCUUUGGACAUUCCGAAGGGCAUGCCUGUUUGAGUAUCAUGAACACCUCAACUCUCACGGCUUGUCCGUGAUGAGCUUGGACCUUGGGGGUCUUGCCGGCCUGUGGUCGGCUCCUCUCAAAUGGAUCAGCUUGCCAGUGUUUGGUGGCAUCACAGGUGUGAUAACUAUCUGCGCUUGUGGUUUUCCAUCAGAUAACCUUCAGUGAUAUGGAGGUUCGCUGGAGCUCACAAAUGUCUCUCCUUAGUGAGGACAGCUCUUUGAACGUUUGAUCUCAAAUCAGGUAGGACUACCCGCUGAACUUAAGCAUAUCAAUAAGCGGAGGA